rnacentral:tRNA from 1 species
GUCUCGGUAGUCUAAAGGCUUAGGAAUGCAAGAGAUCCGGGUUCGACUCCUGGCCGAGACA